rnacentral:rRNA from 1 species
AUUGAACGCUGGCGGCAGGCCUAACACAUGCAAGUCGGGCGGAGCGGCGGACGGGUGAGUAAUGCCUAGGAAUCUGCCUGGUAGUGGGGGAUAACGUCCGGAAACGGGCGCUAAUACCGCAUACUAUCAGAUGAGCCUAGGUCGGAUUAGCUAGUUGGUGGGGUAAAGGCCUACCAAGGCGACGAUCCGUAACUGGUCUGAGAGGAUGAUCAGUCACACUGGAACGAGUACACGGUCCAGACUCCUACGGAAGGCAGCAGUGGGGAAUAUUGCACAAUGGGCGCAAGCCUGAUGCAGCCAUGCCGCGUGUAUGAAGAAGGCCUUAGGGUUGUAAAGUACUUUCAGCGGGGAGGCGUUACCCGCAGAAGAAGCACCGGCUAACUCCGUGCCAGCAGCCGCGGUAAUAC